UACGUAGGGCGCGAGCGUUGUCCGGAAUUAUUGGGCGUAAAGAGCUCGUAGGCGGCUUGUCACGUCGGGUGUGAAAGACCGGGGCUUAACUCCGUUCUGCAUUCGAUACGGGCUAGCUAGAGUGUGGUAGGGGAGAUCGGAAUUCCUGGUGUAGCGGUGAAAUGCGCAGAUAUCAGGAGGAACACCGGUGGCGAAGGCGGAUCUCUGGGCCAUUACUGACGCUGAGGAGCGAAAGCGUGGGGAGCGAACAGG
rnacentral:rRNA from 1 species